GGAUUACUACUGAAGGCUUGGCGCCUUUGCCUUUCGAACUAACCUCAUUGCGGCGGCUCUUGGUUAUAAUACUAAGCCACGACGGUGUUAGUGUCGAUUAUAACGAGCUUGGUAGUGGUGUAGUUGUGUCGAUACUGGUCGGUCGGUAGUGGUGUCGGUAGGUUUUAAGCCGCAGCUCGGUUUACGUACGUAGAAAUCGUUACAUGGGAUAUACCUGCGAUAUAGCUAAUAUUCGACGAUGGCCGCCGGGCUGCACGCAACCUACGACUAGAUCCUGCGACUGGUUCUACUGUGCAACAACCACUAACUCAGGUUUUCUUCGUCUACACGAAGAGAUGAUGGUAACAACAAGAUGAAACUGGGAAGUGAGAACCGGCGUCCUGUUGGUGCGUCGAUAUCGCGGUAUCGAUAACGCGACCGUCAUUUUAUCGCUGUUCACGCGCACGUUCAAAAAAUUCUCGACUCCCGCGGGAACGAUAACGCCCGUACGCCCUUUUCUCUCUCUCUCUCUCUAUUUUUCAAUCUGUAGAACCUCUCCGAUGACAUGAAAUGGGUCGGAAUCAAUUACUUUCCGACCUACUCGAGACGGUUAUGAUAAAUGUAUGAUCUGAUGUACUCCUGGAUGUUCAAUGUUCCGUUUAUGAAUGGUGUAUUAGAACGUUGACGAUCCAAGGCCUGAGAUUACAUCCAUUUACGCUUAAGUUUUGGCUACCAUUGACCAUAUGGAAAUUGAUCAUCCUUCAAAUAAAUUAUUAUUCAGACUACCCGCUGUGCUAACAAUAAAUUGUUUAAUUUAAAAGGCCUAGUUUCGAUCAAGUACGUGAUGCUUAUUUGGACUGUAUACCUAUGAUAAAAUAGUUCUUAAACAUUAAGACCCGUGUAGAGAAAAUUGUUCUAAUCACUUUUCAGACACCGUAUUUUUAUUGAUAUGAACUAGCUUUUGAUUAUCCUUCUAUAGGUAAGGACGAUAACUGGUUUUUACGCAACGAGAAAUUGCUGCCAGAUUUAACGAGAGCUUCCUCUUUGACUUCUAUGAGAGGGUCCCCCGGAACGGUCGACCAAUAUCUGCGGUUUGUCCGCGGUUGUUGCGUCAAUGGAGAAAAGAACCAUGAGAAACGUGCCCCGUUUCGCCGUAGCUUAAUUAAUUGGCUGUCUCGUGGCUCAUGGAUCACAGGGGUUGAAGGUCAAGGAUAAAACCGAAGUUGAGAAAUCCUUGUUGACCAUGUUCAGGGGGGGCAUUGACUCUAAGAUCAAUUGGAGAGUCUAUUAACGACGAUUUAUCAUCGAUCGAUAUAUUGUUAAGAUAAACGGAAGAUUUUCCUAGCAUAAACUUUGCACUGCGAUGCAACAUGUUCGUAAAAAAAAAAAAAAAACAAUUUACAUUAGUCAAGGAGAAGACACGGUGAAAUUUCAAGUUCGCGAACACACAUCAUGCCAAAUAUAGAAUUCGAAUGCGAAUAUAUACAAGUAUAUUAUGCGAAUCUUUAUUCAUGAGAAGAUCCGCUUAUUCCAACUGCAUGUGAAAACUUAGCGUUGGUCUCGAUAAUUUACAUUUUUAAACAAUGUCACGAGAUCGAACUCCCUGUCAAAUGAAAUUGGCAAUCAUAAAAUCGUAAGCAAAGCACUUAAUCAAAACAAUUUAUCCGGUUCAACUAACCCUCCGUUGCACCUAAUAUACAUACAUUAUGCAUAUCAUAUCAGAGUACGUACGUUGCGAUCAAGGUGUAUUUUCACGUUGUCUACGUACAUUAUAAAAAAAAAACAUAAUAUAAUUCUUAUCGCUUGCGGUACAACGAACGAUCAUGUUUCCGAGUCUAUAUAAUCCUCGUGACCACGCUGCGUCGAGGUGAUUGCGGAAAUGUUUCUGGUCUUUCAUCCUACAGCCGCAAAGAUGAUGACGAUUCGAAAGAAAUUGAAGAAGUUUAAUGUCCGAACGCAUCGAUGUAAAAUAAAAAUGAAAGUGUUAACAAGUACAACUUAACGCAAUUGCUCACCGUCGCAAAACUGCAAACGAGCAAAGCCUACGCAUGUUUAAAAUCAAUGAAUAUCCAUGUGUACAUAAAUGCAUAAAUAUUAUAUCUAUGAUUCACCCCGGUGUCAUUGUCGGUUGCUCAUCAACGCGAAUCCUCCCGCGAUCUUAAUUCCGUGGAAUUAAGAUAGGUGUAUGUACGCUCGUAACUUUAUUACAUCCAUACAAUAAUUAUUUAAUUUCUUUUUCUUUUUUGUCUUUGUAACAAUUCUUCAUUUUUUUAUUUUCGAAUCAACGCUGAUCAACUCAAAUGACGUGUACGAUAAAUCUUACAGUAUAAUACCACAUUACUCACGCGAUUCUUUAAGUCUGAUUUGUCAUGCGACUGUCUUCAAAUUAUUACACAUACCCAUGUGAGAUAUUGUAUAUCGCCGGAUUUCAUUCUCGAUAACGCCUCUCUAUAUCAAUGUUGUGUAAAUUAUAAAUAUAUUGCAAUGUGGUUAGAUAAUUUUGGUACGCAACUGAACCACCAACAUCCGCCUGUUCCAACGUCACUAUAAGUAUGUACCAUUUCUCUGCGGCAAUAAAGGUAUGGAUAUUUAAUUUUUUUCUUAUUUACCCGCAUCCACAUAAUACAAUAUUUCUACAAUGAUUAAUUCUUGAAGCGUUUCGAUGAUGCCCUUUACCGCGAUCGUGUUUAACUCCUUGUUUACAGAAGAAAUUCUUCGGUGUUCUCAAGUUUAAUCACAUGCGUAGAUCUAUAAACCCCUCCAUGUUAUAAUGUUAUGUGUAUGCGAAUCGAUUGACAGUUGUCAACAUACUUAUUAGAUUUGUUGGAUUACCCGCGCGCCAUUAUAUGUAUGUGGACGCUAUAAAACUACAAAUAUAAAGGUGUAUAAUUGUAUUUUAUAUAUACAACUUGAAUGCGCAUAGAGAUAAAUCAACAAAUAAAUAGGUAGAUUGAGUUAUGGGCGAAUACCAUUAUCCCAGCUGGGUUUGUCUUUAUACAUAUAUACAUGUCACUUUGAAUAUAUAUAUAUAUAUAUAUGUAUCUCUCUUUACUUGUCUGCAGUUGUAGGCCAGCACGUGCGUCAAUUGACGAUUUUAGUUUAUUUCUCCUUUGACUCGGGCACGCAGAUUUCUUGCGAAGUUUAUCUCGCAACGCCGUACCCUGGUGUACGCUAUAAUGUACGUACGUCCAUGAAUCCAAAGCAACGUGAAUAUGAUACAGAGAGAAAGAUAGAGAGAGGGAGGAAUGCAUAAUGGGUAACGAUUCUACGACGUCGCGAAAUACAAGGGAGGAAAAAAAAAAACCAAACCGAUGUGCUUAGAAUCUGCGACAUUACGAAUGAUUCACGAACAUAAAAUAUAUAAUCGUAGACACGUGGUUCGUUUUAGCCAAUUCUGAUGAAUUUUCGCUGAUUCAUAAAUGAAAAAAAGAAGUAACAUUAAGGGUUACUAGAAUGAUAAAACUGGAUAAUAUAUAACCAUAUAUUAUGUUGUAAAAUGAUAAAAGUCAAAUAUGACGAAUGCUAAAUAUAGUUGUGAUGUCUCAUGUUGCAAAAAUCGCUAUAAAUGUUUAUUCGCGUAUGUGUACCUCAUACACCUAUAUGAGCGGGGAAAAAUGUUUCACUUAAAAUUUUUAGUACCCUAUUCAUUCCGCAAUAAUAGGAUAGUGAAAAUCGGUUUGUACGGAUGACUGUCGAUUUUCCUGGAACAAAGGUGUGAAGAUACGGUGAAAAAUUUUCGAGUAAUUUUUUUUUCUUUUAUCAUACACACGGUUUACUUUUGUUCGUUAAAUAUAUACGUGCAGUAUAUAAUGUAGGUUUAGUGAAAUACUGGAAAAUUCGUAACAAAUAUUGAUUCUUUAUCAUAUCAUGUAUAUCGGUAGUAAACGGAUCUCGGUUGGAUACAUCAUUUAUACGUACAUACAGUGUGUAUUUUGCGACCAAGGAAUGAAGCAGGUUUUUUCAUGAAUCAUAUUACACGCAAUCCGCGCCAUGUAUAUUCAAUUACGAUAAAAACAAUCGUUAUUGAGUUUGUCCGAUUCUGAACAAUUAACGUCCUGCAUGCCCGUAAUAUCUUCCUCGGUAAAUUUUCACCGCAGAAUAUUGUUGAAUGAUGUGAAUUUUUUUUCUCCCUUCUUUCUUUUAUUGCCAUUGCAUUAUCUGUAGCUACAAAUUGAACAGCAAUUGGAUGUUAUGAAACUUUUACACAAUUAUCAUCAUAGUCCGAUGUUAUAGUAAUGCAAUAUUUUCAUCAGAAGUUCCUACAUGUAAGAUAUACAGGAAUUGUAUAGAUUCAAUUAAAUGAUAUCUGUACGAACCUAUAUUUUUACUAAUCGACAACAUCCAUUAUAUCCCACAACCAUUAAUAUGAAUCAAAUCGCGUUCAGAACAAGCUCUUAUUAUAAUAUUUGAAUCGGCAUUAAUAUCGUCUGCAGCGAUCAAUCAUUCUCAUCCAGACAUGCAAGUACACUUACCUAUAAUGUAGGUGUACUUCGAUUUUUCGACAUCUAAUUAUUACGACGAAACUAAUUACUUCAUACGUUAUUUGCUGUAAUUAAUUUUGAUCAGACAUACACGUGUAUACAAUACACAAGUUAUACGUAUGUAUGAAGGAUUUAUACACACAAUAGUUGGAUCGGCAUACAUUAUACGAGCGUUGCAGAUCGGUGAACAGUCAUCGCCCUUAAUCGGUUGUAAAAUGAUUCCACGUGACGUAUAUCAUAAAUGUGUCUGAUAAAAAAAAAAAAUAUGUAUAUACUUAUAAAUGAAACAUGAUCGUUGAAAAAGCGCGAUAUCGCGUUGCUCGAUUUUUAACGGUAAUUCUCGUACGAUGUGUCGUCGAAGGUCAAGUUGUCAUUAUAUCGAAACCGUUAAGAAAUGAAUUGAUAAAAUAAAAAUAUUUAAAAAACCGAAAGAAAGAAGGGAGAAAUACGACCGAUGUUUCAGGAACAAAGCUGAAUGUGUAUAACACACAAGAAUCCCGAAGAAACUUUGGAAAACACGUGAUUUAAUGACGCAAACGUUUGCGGGUUGAUAAGGACUAUAAUAUAAUACGCGACGGAAAUGUAUGUAUAUAUGUAUUACGGCAAAUUCUACGAAAGCCCUUAUACAGAAGAGACACCAAGAUAAUUUCCCGGGAAAAACAUUUUAAGUAAAAAACAAAGAAAUAGUAUGGAUUAGAAGUUUAGCGGUUAAUUCUAAGUAGUCACCACAAAUGUGUGUAGCUAAUGGUUCGAUAUAUCUAUGAUAUAAGCAAUUGGAGUGCAAAUAUCAUUGUGUGACAAUAUCCUGUAUCUUCUUAUUUAUUAUUUUCACUUACUUUUUUCAUUAUUUUUCCGUCCUAUGCAAAUGAAGAGUAAUGUAAAACGAAGUAAAGAGAAAUUAUAUUUCGAUUUUAUGUAUAACUGCAAUAUAUAAUAUGGGAAUAAAUAAUUAAAGAUU